CCUACGGGUGGCAGCAGUGGGGAAUAUUGCACAAUGGGGGAAACCCUGAUGCAGCGACGCCGCGUGAGUGAAGAAGUAUUUCGGUAUGUAAAGCUCUAUCAGCAGGGAAGAAAAUGACGGUACCUGACUAAGAAGCCCCGGCUAACUACGUGCCAGCAGCCGCGGUAAUACGUAGGGGGCAAGCGUUAUCCGGAUUUACUGGGUGUAAAGGGAGCGUAGACGGCUGCCCAAGUCUGGAGUGAAAUGCCGGGGCUUAACCCCGGAACUGCUUUGGAAACUGUGCAGCUAGAGUGCAGGAGAGGUAAGUGGAAUUCCUCGUGUAGCGGUGAAAUGCGUAGAUAUUAGGCGGAACACCAGCGGCGAAGGCGGCUUACUGGACUGUAACUGACGUUGAGGCUCGAAAGCGUGGGGAGCAAACAGGAUUAGAUACCCGAGUAGUC
rnacentral:rRNA from 1 species